AGCAGCCGCGGUAAUUCCAGCUCCAAUAGCGUAUAUUAAAGUUGUUGCAGUUAAAAAGCUCGUAGUUGAAUUUUGGAUUCUUCCAAUUGGUUCAUCUUUUAGAUGAGUACUGGUUGUGUGGGGUCUAUCCGCCUGGUGAUACGUAAUGUCCUUUAUUGGAUGUUGCGGGUAGUCAGGACCUUUACCUUGAAAAAAUUAGAGUGUUUAAAGCAGGCUUAUGCCGGAAUACAUUAGCAUGGAAUAAUAGAAUAGGACGAAGUUGUUUUAUUUUGUUGGUUUCUAGGACAACCGUAAUGAUUAAUAGGGAUAGUUGGGGGCAUUAGUAUUCAAUUGUCAGAGGUGAAAUUCUUGGAUUUAUUGAAGACUAACUACUGCGAAAGCAUUUGCCAAGGAUGUUUUCAUUAAUCAAGAACGAAAGUUAGGGGAUCGAAGACGAUCAGAUACCGUCGUAGUCUUAACCAUAAACUAUGCCGACUAGGGAUCGGGCGAUGUUGUUUCCAUGACUCGCUCGGCACCUUAU
rnacentral:rRNA from 1 species